ACAAGUUUCACUUAACAAAAUACACCCAAAAGGAAAUCACAGUACAAAGAAAGUUUCAAGUCAAGGCCUCACCAAUUCCUAUGAUCUGAAGAGCACACGUGUG